UUUUUCCGGUAAGGUUUUAAAUGAGGCAGCGACGAGGGUAGAAAGAAGAAAAUCUUCCACUUUUCUGUCACAUCAGAGUGAGUAAUAGAAAAGUGAGGGACUAUCUGUAUAUGAUGAAAACCAGUCUCAAGAGUUGGGUGAAUGAGGAAGCAACACCUGUCAAUAAUGACCAAUUUCCUCUCUUUUUGUUGUUUCCUCUGUUUUCAUUCAUUCACUCAACGGCCUUUGAGUUUCCCUUUCAUAAGCAUCUCAGUUUUUCUGGGAAAAUUUUAUACCCCUUUUGUUUGUUUUACUCAAUCCAAAGUUCUAAUAAAAGAAAAUCAAAGGAAAUUUACUGGUUUUUGGUGGGUUUUAUGUGUUUUUAUUGUUUGGUUUAUGGGGUCUCCCGAUGGAACAUAAUACAAGCUGAAGGGUGGUUUGAUAUUCUAAUCUGAGUGAAGAUGGCCAUGUCACUCGAAGACCUCCUUGCAAAGGAAGGAUUUAAUAGGAGGAUGUCAAAAACAGUGCCUAAAGCUUCAUCCGGAACAAAUGCAAGAAGUGGACCUAUUUACCCACUUCAUGAAUCUCAUAAACAUGUGUCUUCAUCAGGCACAAGAAAAAUCGAGAGGACAAAAUCUGCUAUCCUGUGGCAUGACUUGAAAGAUAAGACCCCAAGAGUCAAUUUUGCAGACAAGAGGCAAAAGAAGGAAAGUAAGCACAGAAUGGGCUCGUGCGAUCUAUCAUCGGAUGUUAAGAGAAUAAGUAUUAGUUCUUUUGAUGAAUUGCUAGAUGUUGAUGCUUAACAUAGCAAUGAGAUAGUUGAGGUUGGAGAGCGAAAUGGUUCGAGAUUCAAUCAUAUAUACCCGAAUAAAACUUACAAAAAUGGGAGUGGUGAAGGCAGGUCUUCUAGCAGAAGUGAGGAAGGAGAAGGAAAAUGACAAUCCUUCGGAAAAGAUACAAAAGCAACAAUAAAAUGACUCAAUAAUUCUGGUAAACUUCUUUCAGGACAUCCAAGCUUUAGAGAUGAUUAUCAGAAACAUAUUGAACAGAACUGAGACCUCCUACAACACAUCAACCAGAAGUUUGUUAACCAACAAAAGUUAUGGUGCAGCUGGAAGCCUAAGAAAAUCCGAGAUUGAGCACACUGCAACUCUUCCUGCUCUUGAUGAAGUUGUCGUUCAGGCUGUAAUUUCUAUCUUGACUGGAUAUAUAAAGCGUUUUCUCAUAGAUGAAGAUUUUAGGA